AACUUCAAUCAAAAUUGAACCCUUGAUCACAUUCUUGUCUUUCUUUACGAGAAGAUCCUUACAUGUUCUACUCCCUGAAAUUGUCUUGAAAUUAAGGCAAGAGCCCCAUUGCCAUGACAAAUUCUUACUAUCUAAGAAAGCUUGCUAAACUAUGUUCAGAGAUUUCCAGACCAUAUAUGUCCUUACUUGCAUAUGCCAUGUCAUGCAUUAUAUCAAGAGUUCUAUGAUGUGCAUUUGUAAGGCUAAGGCAAAGUUAAA
rnacentral:misc_RNA from 1 species